GAUGAACGCUGGCGGCGUGCCUAAUACAUGCAAGUCGAGCGAACGGACGAGAAGCUUGCUUCUCUGAUGUUAGCGGCGGACGGGUGAGUAACACGUGGAUAACCUACCUAUAAGACUGGGAUAACUUCGGGAAACCGGAGCUAAUACCGGAUAAUAUUUUGAACCGCAUGGUUCAAAAGUGAAAGACGGUCUUGCUGUCACUUAUAGAUGGAUCCGCGCUGCAUUAGCUAGUUGGUAAGGUAACGGCUUACCAAGGCAACGAUGCAUAGCCGACCUGAGAGGGUGAUCGGCCACACUGGAACUGAGACACGGUCCAGACUCCUACGGGAGGCAGCAGUAGGGAAUCUUCCGCAAAGGGCGAAAGCCUGACGGAGCAACGCCGCGUGAGUGAUGAAGGUCUUCGGAUCGUAAAACUCUGAUAUUAGGGAAGAACAUAUGUGUAAGUAACUGUGCACAUCUUGACGGUACCUAAUCAGAAAGCCACGGCUAACUACGUG
rnacentral:rRNA from 1 species